rnacentral:misc_RNA from 1 species
GUGUUGUCAUCACCACAUUAUCAAGUGCAACCACCCCUGACAUAGUGGACAUAAUUGUCACCAAUUUAACUUCUCAUGGAACAAAUUGAUAAAAUUAAAGCUUUGGAUAUUAUUGAAAAUGGCUACAAAGUUUUGCAAAUAAAUUUUCACCAUUUGAUUCUACAUUUUUCUUUGAAUGAAGCAGCAUAGGGUCUUGAAAUGCUUCCUGUCAGCAUUCUAACAUGUGGGGGGAGUCUUACUUGGUCUACAACAUGAUGUCUCUUAUGUGGAAGGGUAUCUAGUUGGAAACUUCAAUGGGAAGUUUUGAAUUUGCAUAUAUGGUUGUUGCACUGCUUACUAUGUCCCAGGGUAUCACACUGCUAUUAGCCAAGUCCCUUCUCUUGUUCU